AACGGCUGAACUGGCAACUUGGAGAAGUGGCAAGUUUUAUAAUUAAUAGUAAUUAAUAUUUCUAUUUUUAUAAAAUUCUAUUAGAAUUGAAUGAAGCUUUGUUUAUAUAUUGAUAAUGACAGUAUAUAUAUCGUGUCUUGACUAAUUGCGUGCCAGCAGUCGCGGUAAUACGUAAGAGACUAGUGUUAUUCAUCUUAAUUAGGUUUAAAGGGUACCCAGACGGUCAAUAUAUCUUCUAUAAUGUUAGUACUUGACUAGAGUUUUAUGUAAGAGGGCAGUACUUGAGGAGGAGAGAUGAAAUUUCGUGAUACCAAAGGGACUCUGUAAAGGCGAAGGCAGCCCUCUAUGUAGAAACUGACGUUGAAGGACGAAGGCACAGAGAACAAACAGGAUUAGAUACCCAAGUAGUCUUUGCAGUAAAUGAUGAAUGCCAUAGGUCAGAUCUAAAUUUAAUGUUUAUAGAUUAUGUGAAGGCCUUAAUUGGCAACUUUGCAAAAAUUAUAAAUAUUAAAAAUUAUUUGGUCUAUAAAUGAAAGUGUAAGCAUUUCACCUCAAGAGUAAUGUGGCAACGCAGGAACUGAAAUCACUAGACCGUUUCUGACACCAG
rnacentral:rRNA from 1 species